AGCAGCCGCGGUAAUUCCAGCUCCAAUAGCGUAUAUUAAAGUUGUUGCAGUUAAAAAGCUCGUAGUUGAAUUUCGGGAUCAAUAUGUCGGUCGUGCCUUCGGUACGUACUGGCAUCAUUGAUUUCUCCCUUCUGACGAACCACGAUGUCAUUAAUUUGGUGUCAUGGGGAGUCAGGACUGUUACUUUGAAAAAAUUAGAGUGUUUAAAGCAGGCUCACGCUUGAAUACAUUAGCAUGGAAUAAUGAAAUAGGACGUUUGACCCUAUUUUGUUGGUUUCUAGGAUCAACGUAAUGAUUAAUAGGGAUAGUUGGGGGCAUUAGUAUUCAAUUGUCAGAGGUGAAAUUCUUGGAUUUAUUGAAGACUAACUACUGCGAAAGCAUUUGCCAAGGAUGUUUUCAUUAAUCAAGAACGAAAGUUAGGGGAUCGAAGACGAUCAGAUACCGUCGUAGUCUUAACCAUAAACUAUGCCGACUAGGGAUCGGAUGAUGUUAAUUUUUUAAUGUACUCUAUUC
rnacentral:rRNA from 1 species